UGGUCAAGCUAAUAAGGGCAUAGGGUGGAUGCCUAGGCACCAGUAGCCGACGAAGGACGGGAUAAGCACC
rnacentral:rRNA from 1 species